rnacentral:lncRNA from 1 species
UAAAUAAUUUUUGUAGCGUAAAAGCUAAAUAAAUUCAUACAUACUAUAAUACAAAUAACCAAAGUAUAAAAUUUAAUUUACAGUGACAAGUUGGCCCACGAACGACCAAAAGUAUCAAAAGCGGUAAACCUACAGUUUUUGAGGAUGCAAGUCCAACUGUAGCCCUCAACAAAGUAAGCUAUCUACCGACUAUCCUAAGCCUGAAAUGGGUGGAAAGGAGGGUGGUGAGAUUAUAUAAUCCCAGUGAGUAAACAAAUACCAUCUAAAAUAUCUAAAGCUGAGUAAAUUGAGACAGAUAAAAUAGAUUAGCAUAAAUAUGAUUCACAGCAUUUCGAACUCAUUUUAAUAAGAUAAAAUAGAUUCAUUUCACCAAAAUAAACAACGAGGCUUAUGAUUUCCUGAAAAGUUUGGCUCGUGCCAAAAUCAUUCUCAUACUCAGUUAUUAGGGAUACCUUGAUCGAGGGCUAUCCCAAUCGAGUCUGCCAAGGCUGUUAAAAAGUUAUGUAUGCAUAAAUCAUGUUUUUAUUUUGAAAAUAUAGUCGUUCCUUGGCCUUGGCUGAGUUCAUCCUCAUGUAGUGGUUUGGCUUGAAGUGAACUCUAAAGUUUUAACCUUAAGAGUUAUCCAACUGUGCCUCUCAUACUGAGGUAUGAAUAUAAUAGGUUUACCGUGCCCCUCAAAUAGGCUGAUCCACGGAACCCAUCCACUACAACGACCAAUUUAUAACCCACAAAUUCAAUAAAAUUCAAUAGCAUGACAUGGCAAUUUUAUCAUUAUCUAGCCUAUCAAUGCAAACAACAGUUUAUACCUUUUCAACACAAAUGCUAAUUCAGCCAUUCAUGCCAAUAUUGCCAUAAGCCAAUCAAUUAGAACUAUAAAUUCACAAUACAUCAAAUGGUCUCCAAUUACUCUAUUUUCAAAGCCAUCAUUCAAUUUCAAGACAAUUUACAAAAUCAUUUCAUUUAAACACAUUUUGUUUAUAAAACAUAAAGAUUUACCAUUUAAACUCAUUUUUCUACCAAAUCACAAAAACAAUUAAAAACUACUUUAGAUAAUUAAGACGAUGUAAGGUUACUUACUGUAAUGGGAAUCGAAUUCUGAGUACUUCGAUUCUUGAUCCUCGGG